rnacentral:rRNA from 1 species
CCUACGGGGGGCAGCAGUGGGGAAUCUUCCGCAAUGGGCGAAAGCCUGACGGAGCAACACCGCGUGAUCGAAUGAAGGCCUUCGGGUUGUAAACCUCUGUCAGCAGGGAAGAACGGUCACUGUGCUAAUCAGCAGUGAAUUGACGGUACCUGCAAAGGAAGCACCGGCUAACUCCGUGCCAGCAGCCGCGGUAAUACGGAGGGUGCGAGCGUUAAUCGGAAUUACUGGGCGUAAAGCGCUCGUAGGCGGUAUGUCAAGUCAAGGGUGAAAUCCCCGCGCUCAACGUGGGAACUGCCGUUGAAACUGGCAAACUGGAGGGUGUGAGAGGAUAGUGGAAUUCCAGGUGUAGGAGUGAAAUCCGUAGAUAUCUGGAGGAACAUCAGUGGCGAAGGCGACUAUCUGGCACAUAACUGACGCUGAGGAGCGAAAGCGUGGGUAGCAAACAGGAUUAGAUACCCUAGUAGUC